rnacentral:tRNA from 1 species
GAAUUCCAGCUUUGGGUGUUGGUGGUGAGGUUUAAUGUCUCUUCCUUGA